AGGAGAUUUGAGCAUUCAUCGAUCUCACCAUCCGAUUGUAAUCGUUAAACAGUGAUGAAAAAACUGGCUAUAUAUAGCGACCCUAAUUAGAACCCAUUUUUCCACAUAGCUCAGACAAAGCAAAUUGUAUGUUUGUAUCACUGUAUGCUUUCAGAAAAGUAUUUUAUCAUGAUGAAGAUCUUGCCAGCGCUCUUCAUUGCUUUCCUGUUGAUGUUAGCAGCUCUGCAAGCUGAUGCAGAAGUGCUCACCACCACGGAGCCUAAGGUGGCCAACCGUCAUCUGUUGAGUGAACCAUCAUCUCUCGGUCGAAAGGUAAGCGCUGGAGCUAAUGAUGCCGAGACGCCUACUUCAAACAACGGCAACAGUAACACGGAAACUAAAACUGGUAGUGGCGCUUCUGGCGACGACGACGACGACGAAACUAACCAAAGCUAUGGUAGAUAUGGAGGUGGGUCAUCUACUGAUACACACCACCAUUACACAAAUGAUACUAGACCACGUUAAGCUCGUUAAGCAUAUAUAUAUAUAUAUAUAUAUAAGUAUGUGCGUACAUAUAUUGUGUGGCUUUGCUUUGUAAUGUUAAUAAAGCGGAGACAAACAUGUUUCGAGACACGGAAACCACUAUAUGCGUGUGUGACACAUGUAUUGUUUCAUGUGAAAUAGUAAUUAGUUUCUACGUGAAGGUAUCUUGUGAGAUGCAAGUCUGGCUUUUAGGCCAAAAUUAUUAAUACUUGCAUGGAAAUAAAAAAGGCAUGGCAAGCUAGCUAUUGAUUAGCGCCAGUUUAUUAUA